rnacentral:snRNA from 1 species
GUGCUCGCUUCGGCAGCACAUAUAUCAAAAUUGGAA